rnacentral:rRNA from 1 species
AUUGAACGCUGGCGGCAUGCCUUACACAUGCAAGUCGAACGGCAGCACGGACUUCGGUCUGGUGGCGAGUGGCGAACGGGUGAGUAAUAUAUCGGAACGUACCUUUCAGUGGGGGAUAACUAUCCGAAAGGAUAGCUAAUACCGCAUAUUCUGUGAGCAGGAAAGCAGGGGAUCUUCGGACCUUGCGCUGAUUGAGCGGCCGAUAUCAGAUUAGCUAGUUGGUGAGGUAAAGGCUCACCAAGGCUACGAUCUGUAGCGGGUCUGAGAGGAUGAUCCGCCACACUGGAACUGAGACACGGUCCAGACUCCUACGGGAGGCAGCAGUGGGGAAUUUUGGACAAUGGGGGCAACCCUGAUCCAGCCAUGCCGCGUGAGUGAAGAAGGCCUUCGGGUUGUAAAGCUCUUUCGUCCGGGAAGAAAUCGCAUUGGCUAAUACCUGAUGUGGAUAACGGUACCGGAAUAAGAAGCACCGGCUAACUACGUGCCAGCCGCCGCAGUAAAAC